rnacentral:sRNA from 1 species
GAGGCCCCGACGCGGCUGUCGCGAGGGCGGGGGUCGGGGCUGCAGGCGGGGCAGGGCUGGGUGUGGGAGCGCGACGCACCUGCCUGCUUCCUGCACGGGUGGUCCCCAAGCACUGCGGGGCCCCAGCCCAAAGCGGACCUUGACUACCGCCCAGCCGCGCGCUCCCAGGACCUCCCGCCCGCGGAGCCCGCUCCGAUUGCUCUUCGCCCGGGUCGGCGGAGGCCCCGUCUCCUGUACCCGGCGCUGGGACUGCUCCGCACCGCGCGGCUCCCUUUCAGCAGCUGCAGGAGCAUGCGGAGGAGGCCCUGCCGGCUCCGCGGGUCAUGGAGGAGUUCCGGCGCUCCUACAGCCGCCUGUGCAGGGAGAGUGGGGCCGAGCCCCAGGAGGCUGUCCUGCAGCAGCUGCACCAGCUUCCCAGGGGCCGGCUGGACCUGGCCACGCAAAGCCUGACGGUGGAGACCUGCAGGGCCCUGGGCAAGCUGCUGCCGAGGGAGACGCUGUGCACGGAGCUGGUCCUGAGUGACUGCAUGCUCAGCGAGGAAGGGCAACAACCUUCGGGCCGCAGGGGCCGAGGCUCUGGGAAAACUCCUCCAACAGAACAAGUCCAUUCAGAGCCUCACGCUGGAGUGGAACAGCCUGGGCACGUGGGACGAUGCCUUCGCCACCUUCUGCGGGGGCCUGGCGGCCAACGGCGCCCUGCAGCAGCUGGACCUCCGCAACAACCAGAUCAGUCACAAGGGCGCCGAGGAGCUGGCCCUAGCCCUGAAGGGCAACACCACCCUCCAGCAGCUGGACCUGCGCUGGAAUAAUGUUGGCCUCCUGGGGGGCCGGGCCCUCAUG